rnacentral:rRNA from 1 species
UACGGAGGGUGCGAGCGUUGUUCGGAAUCACUGGGCGUAAAGGGCGUGUAGGCGGUCCGCUAAGUCUGAUGUGAAAGCCCGGGGCUCACCCCCCGGAAGGGCAUUGGAAACUGGCGGACUCGAGUCCCGGAGAGGGAGGGUGGAAUUCCUGGUGUAGCGGUGAAAUGCGUAGAUAUCAGGAGGAACACCAGUGGCGAAGGCGACUACCUGGCCUGUUCUUGACGCUGAGGCGCGAAAGCUAGGGGGAGCAAACGGG